CAGUCGCCGCGGUAAAACGAAGGGUGCAAGCGUUAAUCGGAAUUACUGGGCGUAAAGCGUGCGUAGGCGGUGAGUUAAGUCUGCUGUGAAAUCCCCGGGCUCAACCUGGGAAUGGCAGUGGAUACUGGCUCGCUAGAGUGUGUCAGAGGAUGGUGGAAUUCCCGGUGUAGCGGUGAAAUGCGUAGAGAUCGGGAGGAACAUCAGUGGCGAAGGCGGCCAUCUGGGACAACACUGACGCUGAGGCACGAAAGCGUGGGGAGCAAACAGGAUUAGAUACCCCAGUAGUCCCUGUCUCUUAUAC
rnacentral:rRNA from 1 species